rnacentral:lncRNA from 1 species
AAUGCAGCAGAAUGUGAGGACAUACGCACAUGCCCUCAGUAAUUCUUAUGCUCCAGGAUGACUCACAGGAGAACUCUAACUCAGUUGUUUCAUGUGUUCCAAGUUAGGUUUUGCCGACACAGGCAUCACCCUUGAACUUGCUAUCUGCUGAGGUAUGGAGUUCCCUGCUUCACUCAAGGACACAAGGGAAUGCUAACACAUGUGGAACCACACCAUUGAAGAGAAUAUUAGGACGCUGAGUCCUCUUUCACUUUGUUUCCUGGCUGUUGUGAAGUAAAGAGCUUUCUUUUGUAACGUGCUCCACACCAUGACUUGCUGACCUUGCCAGAAGUCCAUGAACAGACCAUAAAGUAAAACCUUCAAAACUACAAGCCAAAAUAAUAAUUCUCUGGUUAUUCCUGGUUCUUUUCUCUUGUAUUUGUUACAGGGACAGAAAACGAAUCCAGUGAUAAACAUAACUGGUUGGCCAGACCUACUAUUUACUGUUCUGUUUUCUGCUCUGCUUGACGUUCUCAUCCCUCUGACUUCAUUGCCGCCUAUGGGUUGUUUAAAUAUUUUAAAUGACUCCAUCUUAUAUAAAGUGCUUCUGAGUGUUUCUCUUUGCAGUCUUUUAUAUUGCUCACCCAGACUGUAAUAAUAUAAACACAGGACUUAUAGUAACAACAACGUAGUAGUCAGCCACUUUGAAAGGACUGUGAACUUUGUUUAUAUCCAUUUCCCUCCCCCACAUUAAAGAAUCACUGUCUUCACAUGAGAAGUAAUAUAAUUCUUGCAGAAAUUCCAUGUGAUUAUCAACUCCUAUGAAGAAGCAUGACCUGCUGGCUGUGCCCAUAGUAUUAUUCUUUCUGUCCUUGGACUCCAUUAGAUAGUAAUAAAAUCUUUUGUCUUUAUUUGUCUUCAUUGGGUUAUCUCCCCACC